CCCAUCGACAAAGACUCAAAAUUCUGAAUUAACUCCCUAUUCUAUAUCUUUCUUGAAGGCUAUUAGGGUAGAAUCGCAGACUGAACUUCUUUUAUUCUCUAGAUUAACUCAAGGUGAACAGUCAGGUAGCCCAAACAUGUGACUCUCUUCAAAUCCUGUAGCCGUACCUGUUGUGUGACCCCUAUCUGCGUGCAUUAUGAAACUAUCAAAUGAGCUAAUGUACCUGCACUUUUCCUGCUAAGUGUGUCGGCUAUCACGUUGUCUUUACUCGAGUGAUACAAGAUAUCA
rnacentral:lncRNA from 1 species